GAUGAACGCUAGCUACAGGCUUAACACAUGCAAGUCGAGGGGCAGCAUGGUCUUAGCUUGCUAAGGCCGAUGGCGACCGGCGCACGGGUGAGUAACACGUAUCCAACCUGCCGUCUACUCUUGGACAGCCUUCUGAAAGGAAGAUUAAUACAAGAUGGCAUCAUGAGUCCGCAUGUUCACAUGAUUAAAGGUAUUCCGGUAGACGAUGGGGAUGCGUUCCAUUAGAUAGUAGGCGGGGUAACGGCCCACCUAGUCUUCGAUGGAUAGGGGUUCUGAGAGGAAGGUCCCCCACAUUGGAACUGAGACACGGUCCAAACUCCUACGGGAGGCAGCAGUGAGGAAUAUGAGUCAAUGGGCGCAGGCCUGAACCAGCCAAGUAGCGUGAAGGAUGACUGCCCUAUGGGUUGUAAACUUCUUUUAUAAAGGAAUAAAGUCGGGUAUGUAUACCCGUUUGCAUGUACUUUAUGAAUAAGGAUCGGCGAACUCCGU
rnacentral:rRNA from 1 species